AAACCAUCAGAGAGAGCCCGGCGGGGGGGGGGGUUGGGGGGGGGGAGGAGAAUGGAGUAGCAGAGCAAUACGGAGGGGGGGGAGAAAACACUAGUGAGGGGGGCGCGAGCGGUGACUUUCUGAAAGAGGAAACUCCAGGAGGGGGAAAUAAGGAGGAAUAAUGCACUAGAGGAGGGAGGCUGCUAGUCGUACAGAGAAUCAGCAGCACCUACAGCAACUGACAUCCCUGCUGCAGUGCCGCUACCUUGGCUGGCUGAUACUGUCAAUGGAGCUGGAAAAUAUCGUUGCCAAUACCGUCUUGCUGAAAGCCAGGGAAGGGGGUGGAGGAAAGCGCAAAGGCAAAAGCAAAAAGUGGAAGGAAAUCUUGAAAUUCCCUCACAUUAGCCUGUGUGAAGAUCUCCGAAGAACAAUAGAUAGAGAUUAUUACAGUUUAUGCGACAAGCAGCCAAUUGGAAGGUUUCUCUUUCGGCAGUUCUGUGAAACUCGACCGGAGCUUGAGUGUUGCAUUAGGUUCCUUGACUCGGUGGCAGAGUAUGAAAUUGCUCCAGAUGAAAAACUGGGAGAGAAAGGAAAGGAAAUCAUGAUGAAAUACCUCACACCAGAGUCCCCAGUUUAUGUUGCAGAAGUCAGUCAAGAUCUUGUCCGGCAGACUGAGGAAAAACUCGAAAUCAGCCCCUGCAAAGAGCUGUUUUCUCACUGUGCAAAAUCUGUCCUUGACUACCUAAGUGGAGAGCCGUUUCAAGAAUACCUAGGCAGCAUGUACUUUGAUAGGUUUCUGCAGUGGAAGUGGUUGGAAAGGCAACCAGUAACGAAAAACACAUUUAGGCAGUACAGGGUACUAGGAAAAGGUGGUUUUGGGGAGGUCUGUGCUUGCCAAGUCCGAGCGACAGGGAAAAUGUAUGCCUGCAAAAGAUUAGAGAAGAAGAGAAUAAAAAAGAGGAAAGGCGAAUCCAUGGCACUAAAUGAAAAGCAGAUUUUAGAAAAAGUCAAUAGUCAAUUUGUAGUUAACUUAGCCUAUGCCUAUGAAACAAAGGAUGCACUGUGUUUAGUUCUGACCAUAAUGAAUGGGGGUGACUUGAAGUUCCACAUCUACAACAUGGGCAACCCAGGCUUUGAGGAGGAGAGAGCUUUGUUUUAUGCAGCAGAGAUUCUUUGUGGCUUGGAAGAUCUGCACAGAGAAAACACGGUAUACAGAGAUUUGAAGCCAGAAAAUAUCCUGCUAGAUGAUUAUGGCCAUAUUAGAAUAUCUGACCUGGGUCUAGCUGUUAAAAUCCCAGAGGGUGACUCAAUCCGUGGAAGGGUAGGAACAGUAGGGUAUAUGGCUCCAGAAGUCUUGAACAAUCAGAGAUACACCCUCAGCCCUGACUACUGGGGGCUAGGUUGCCUCAUUUAUGAAAUGAUUGCUGGACAAUCACCCUUUCGUGGAAGGAAAGAGAAGGUAAAGAGAGAAGAGGUGGACAGGAGAGUCCUGGAGACAGAAGAGGUGUACUCCCAUAAAUUUUCUGAGGAGGCAAAGUCUGUCUGUAAAAUGCUACUAACCAAAGAUGUGAAGCAGAGACUGGGAUGUCAGGGGGAAGGUGCAGUGGAAGUGAAGAAGCACCCAUUCUUCAAGAGUAUGAACUUCAAACGAUUAGAAGCAGGAAUGUUGGACCCCCCCUUUGUCCCUGAUCCCAGAGCCGUGUACUGCAAGGAUGUGUUAGACAUCGAGCAAUUCUCCACAGUGAAAGGGGUAAACCUGGACCAAACAGAUGAUGAUUUCUAUUCCAAGUUUUCCACAGGAUCCGUAUCUAUUCCAUGGCAGAAUGAGAUGAUAGAAACAGAGUGUUUUAAAGAACUAAAUGUGUUUGGACCAAAUGGUACUAUUUCACCAGACCUAAACAAAAGCUACCCCCCAGAGCCACCCAAGAAAGGAUUACUACAUAGAAUAUUUAAACGUCAGCAUCAAAACAAUUCAAAGAGUUCACCGAAUUCAAAGGCGAGUUUAAAUCACCACAUAAAUUCAAACCAUGUAAGUUCAAACUCCACCGGAAGCAGCUAGUUUGAACUCAACUUUCAUGAAACAACGUGUUGCAUCCUUCCACUAUAAUCUAUGGAGCUUCUAAGGAUGAGAGAGCAUCCACCGUUGAGUUAAAAAAUAAAUGAUCUCCCAGCAAUGGAGAUAUUCUAUCCAUUCCUUCCAGUGGAGCCUCACAUUUUAUGAAGAAAUUUCCACUCAGGUCUGUUUUUGGAGGUGGCACUCAAGAUGGUGUGAAUCAGAUUUGUCUAUUUAGAACAUUGCAAUAGAAAUUCAACGAACAUGACUACUUGCACGUAUUUAAAUAGCAUCAUACUAGAACUGAAUUUUGUCUUUAUUAUUUUUAAAGAAAAGUUUUGUAAAUUUCUCUAUUGUCUCAGUUUACAUUUUGUACAUUUGUAUUUAAAUGAAGGUCAGACUUUGGGGUGUAUAUUUUCUGAGCAGCAGCUGUAAAGCCAUGUGUUUUAAGACUUUUUUUUAAAAGAAAUGUGACUCAAGACUUCCAGAGCCUCAAAUGAGAAAUCGUUCUUUUUAGAUCAAAGGACUUCAAAAGGGAAUCCCAGGCGUUCUGGAAAUCAAAUGGCCCCCAAGGAACCAUCACUACCAGGAAAGAAGAAACAUGUCAGAUAGUGCCUGGAUUAUAAAUGUAUUUUCCAUUCUUGUCAUUCCACAGCUGUUCAGUGUGUUUAUUAACCAGUCCAUGUGAGUUAUAUUGUAUGUGUUGAGUGCAAUCUCCUUUGAUUGCACUUUUUAAAUACUGGACACUCAUCUAAAAGACUCAACUUUUUGCCUUUUUUUUUUGAAGGUGGAGGAUGUAAAAACUUCAUUUUGCAUUUCCAAGCAAUGUAGAUAGAUCUAAAAAUUUCAUGAACCAUCUUGUAUUUGCCCAUAUCUGACUAAUGAUUAAAUUGUAAAACUGCAGAGUUUCAUAUUACGACUAGUCUUUUCACCUGCUUUGAAAAUUAAAAUUCACAUUUGGUAUUAACACACACACACACACACACACACAGUAGUAUUCUGAUCUAAUUUGACAAGCGUAUCCAGGAGUAAAUGUUUUUAAGCACUGCUAAUACUGUAGUCUCUGUAAGAGGAACAGACACUUCUAAAGAAAUGUUAAAGUUGUCUUUCAUAAUUCAGUCAACAAAUCAGUUUUGUAAUAAAUUAAAGCAAAUGUUCUCAAUUAGAAGAACUAGUGGCUGUUGACAUUGUACACACACAAAAAAUCAUUCUAGUAUCCAAAGGGUUUUUUGUUGUUGUUUUAUUACAGGGAGAUUCUAACAUUGUUUUAUGAAACUAGUUUCAUUUUGAGGUUAUUACUGAAGAUAAUGGCUUCUGUGUUCUAUGGCUGCUUGAAUUCUUCGUACAUAAUGUCUAAUAAUGUCACAGUGCUGCUGUAUCUAGAUCAAACCACUGUUUUGUUUUGGUUUUGUUUGGGGAUUUUUUUAGAAAAAUAAAUUCUUUAAUUUAAA